rnacentral:lncRNA from 1 species
AUUAAUUGAGUGUCCAUAAAUAAGCUACAUGCUCCUCUAGGCAGAGCCAGCGCUAGGGAAGUGUAAACCCUGAUCAUCUCCUUCCUCCAUCUGCCUAAAAUCAACCAUCAGAAAGAGUAGAAUGCUGUCUCUGUGCUCCGAGACAAUGCGAGAUGUUUUUGAGAACAGGAGGCAUGUGGAAGGCGAGAUGAGCGAGUUUGAAGACUAGAACUCGAUAUGCUAAGCCGGCAACGCAGUUGUUCAUCCCAUGAGCGACUUAGCAUGUCACGAUCUAGUUCAGGG